GUCCAUAUGGUCUCGCGGUUAGGAUUCCUGUUUUUCACCCUGGCGGCCCGGGUACGACUCCCGAUAUGGGAA
rnacentral:tRNA from 1 species